GGUAAUUAUUUCCUUACACAACUAACUCUCUCUGUUCUCUCAUUUCCUCCCAUAAUGUCAUUCAGCUUUUUUCUUUUAUUUUCCAUACUUAUUUAUUCGAAUUUCUCUGACAAUUGAGAUAGCUGGUUGAUUUAACUUGGCUCUUGUAUAAUUUUGUAACUAGCAUAUUGUAAUUAUAAAAGUCUAAGGUAAUAUUAGGAAGAACGAAAGUUGUGAUCGAAUAUUCUGGGCGAAAACAGGUACGAGAACAUAUAGAUGAAUCUAUAUCUUCUUAAUGAGCGCAAUGCCCAUUUAGCUCUUUACCCACGGAUUACCCAUAUUUUACCCGAUUUCCGAUAAUGAAAACACAUUUGGUCUGACCCGUUUACAAAAGAUAACCGGCACAUAACCGAUUUUCCCAACUCUGACUCAGACUUCCUUCUUCACGGACAAUCAACGCAGACUUCCUCCCAUCACUCCCUGCAAUUUAGCCUCCAUGAUUUUAGCUAACCUUAUCUCAUACGGGUUAUAUGUCUCUCAUAUACGUAUUUAAUAAUGAUUCAGUAUCAUAUCUCUUCCGUAUUUCUCUUUUUUUAUUUCAGUAUCUGUUUGUAUUAUGUUAAUGUCACUGCGUUUCUAUGCCCUGAUUAAUUUGUUUUGUGUUUGGGCAGGAGAUGAUCUUCAAGCUGGUUGAAAAUUCAUGACUUCGGAAAAAUGGAUGUGAGAUAAAGAGGGUAUAUUUUAGAUUACUCACGGUUCCUCUGGCGUAGCUCAUUCGGGAAAAACCAUUGAAAACGAUAUUUAUAUGAAAUCAGCCCACUCUACAGCAACACAAAGCUCCUGCUUCGCUCUAGGGAAGUUGUUGGAGAAUGCUGCAUCACGACCAUCUGGUUUAGUUGGCAUUGCAGUAGAGAUUGUUAAAUGGAAGAUACAGGAACCAGUAAUCUCAGCGGUGAUCAAAUGAGCAGCCUCAAUCUUUUGGUUUUUUUAAAAUGUCGUUGCUGAUGACGUGCAGGUGCUACAAUGAAUGAAAAGCCGGGUUCGAGUGAGACAGGUAAGUUCUAAAUUCUGUGCCGUGAAAUCCCUAACUAUGCAGCAUCUACUUUUCUUACCAUUUUUAUUGUUUUUCGUAGUCUGGAAAUGCUGUUGGACUAAUUUGGAAGAUAAAAACACGCGAGAUAUUCUUUUAUGUCGGCCUAAUGUGGUUUCUAAUUGGCUAAAUAAUCAACAUUUAUCUGUUGUGUUUUAAUUUUCCACUGGUAGGUCAUGUACCUAGAUCCCCUGGCACAGCUCUAUAUCGCUUCCUGAGCAACAAGGCGGUAAUGAUUCAAAGACAACAAACAGGUCAUCAAAAGAAAGAUGCCCAGUCAAAUGCGUCGAUAAGUUGCGAGACAAAAAGAAAAGGGCGUGGCCUAACUGUGGAGACUAUCUACAAGAGACAAAAUAUAGGCAUGUUUGGGGAAUCUAACAGACGAAGUUCAUUGUUAGAGACGAGUAAGAAGAUUUACACAACGAAACAUUCUAAUCCUGCAAAAUAUUUGCUAUACUAUUAUUUUAUAAUUGUGUUUCCCUGUUUCGAGUAUGAAUUUUGCUUGCAAAUGUUCUGCUUGAGUUGAUCUUCUGACAUUUGCUAUCCAGGCCGAAGUCCUCUCACUGACAUAUAUAGGUUCUUUUUAUACUAAAAAUAUUUGGAAUUUUUAUUAUUUCUCUUUCUGAGUCCAGUACUUUCCAAAAUCUGAAGAGUAUAUGAUUGUUGCACUCAUAUCUGGGGCGUACAAAAUGUUAUCAGUGACAAGUUUCGUGCUAAUGCAUGGGUGAUGUGGCAGCUAGAGAAGCAUAUGAUAGACGCCUAAAGAUCUUUUGAUUUUGACUUCAUAGUAGGAUAUGAGUUUAGAUACAUUAACUUUAGGCGCAAGUGAUAUUGGGAGUUGUAACCCCACAAAUGGUUUGUUGCUGUUUGUCAUAUACUUAUAUAGAUUUUCUUGAUAAGAAUGAAAUAAUUUUAGAAUUUGACGCUGUUUUUACCUAUAUGUAGUUGCAAAUGCCAAAUAUUCGGGCUUCCUUCUCUUCUGUACAAGGUCAGUAGUCAGGAUUCCAAACUCUUCCUAGCUUCCCUCCUCUUGCACAAAAUAACUUGCAUUCUGAUUUCAACCUCAAGUCACAAGAAGGUGAAGUUCCUGAUGGUCAUGUCACAAGAAGGUGAAGUUCCUACUGGUCAUCCAAAUCCACUGGUUCAAAUUAAUUAUACUUUUCCCUCGAUACAGCUCAAGUUCAGGUUCCCAUCUUAAGCCAGAGCAAAUAUCAGCAACAAGGUCUCACCAGUGCUGCCCGGAACAUCAACAGUUUUUCCACUACACUAUCAGAAUAUGAUGAAAUGUCUCCAAGGCCACAGAUACAGGUGGCUGCA